rnacentral:rRNA from 1 species
CCCUUAGAUGUUCUGGGCCGCACGCGUGCUACACUGAUGCAUUCAACGAGUCUAAAACCUGGUCCGAUAGGGCUGGGUAAUCUUUUGAAAGUGCAUCGUGAUUGGGAUAGAUGAUUGCAAUUCUUCAUCUUCAACGAGGAAUGCCUAGUAAACGCAAGUCAUCAGCUUGCAUUGAUUACGUCCCUGCCCUUUGUACACACCGCCCGUCGCUCCUACCGAUUGAAUGAUCCGAUGAAUACCAUGGAUUGAGAGUACGAAUAGGUUCGCUUAUUUCUGCUGCUCGAGAAGUGGAGUAAAUCUUAUCAUUUAGAGGAAGGAGAAGUCGUAACA